rnacentral:rRNA from 1 species
GACGAACGCUGGCGGCGUGCUUAACACAUGCAAGUCGAACGGAAAGGCCCUGCCUUUGUGGGGUGCUCGAGUGGCGAACGGGUGAGUAACACGUGAGUAACCUGCCCUUGACUUUGGGAUAACUUCAGGAAACUGGGGCUAAUACCGGAUAGGAGCUCCUGCUGCAUGGGGGGGGUUGGAAAGUUUCGGCGGUUGGGGAUGGACUCGCGGCUUAUCAGCUUGUUGGUGGGGUAGUGGCUUACCAAGGCUUUGACGGGUAGCCGGCCUGGGAGGGUGACCGGCCACAUUGGGACUGAGAUACGGCCCAGACUCCUACGGGAGGCAGCAGUGGGGAAUAUUGCACAAUGGGCGGAAGCCUGAUGCAGCAACGCCGCGUGCGGGAUGACGGCCUUCGGGUUGUAAACCGCUUUCGCCUGUGACGAAGCGUGAGUGACGGUAAUGGGUAAAGAAGCACCGGCUAACUACGUG